GUGAUAUUAGUUUAAGAAAAACAUUUGCUUUGCAAGCAUAAGAACUAAAAUUUGUUUAGAUAUCACA
rnacentral:tRNA from 1 species